rnacentral:rRNA from 1 species
UUUACCUACGGGAGGCAGCAGUAGGGAAUCUUCCACAAUGGGCGAAAGCCUGAUGGAGCAACGCCGCGUGGGUGAAGAAGGUCUUCGGAUCGUAAAACCCUGUUGUUAGAGAAGAAAGUGCGUGAGAGUAACUGUUCACGUUUCGACGGUAUCUAACCAGAAAGCCACGGCUAACUAAGUGCGAGCAGCCGCGGUAAUACGUAGGUGGCACGCGUUAUCCGGAUUUAUUGGGCGUAAACGGAACGCAGGCGGUCUUUUUAGUA